rnacentral:rRNA from 1 species
GCAGUAAAUUUUAUCUCAACUUCUAUUAACAUAAAACCAACAAAUAUAAAACCUGAACGAAUCCCCUUAUUUGUAUGAGCUGUAGGAAUUACUGCCCUAUUACUACUUUUAUCUCUACCGGUUUUGGCUGGAGCAAUCACAAUACUCCUAACGGAUCGAAAUCUUAAUACUUCAUUUUUUGAUCCUGCUGGAGGAGGAGAUCCUAUCUUAUAUCAACACUUAUUUUGAUUUUUUGAUUCUAUAGCCUAAUUUCGACUCCUCUUAGCGUUGGAAUGCGUCGUUUCCGGACGCUUUUUCAUAGGACCUUUUUCCCUCCAUUUCCAGUCUUUGUAUUUGUUACCUCUGUAAGUGAAACGGUUCUUUGGGAUGACAUUAAUAGCGUUAAACGCCUUUCUAUAUCAAUUACUGAAAUUAAUUUAAUUCAUGCAUUUGUUAAUAAUUAUUUUAUUGAUAGAGUAAUUUAAAUUAAUGUAAAUGUUUUGGGGGAUAAGCUUUGAUUAAAUAAAGAUUUAUAAUUUUUGGUUGAGGUGAAUAGUAGAGAAAUGUAGUGGAUUUAGAGGUGAUUAUCUAAUUUGAGGAUGUUAAAGUUUUAUUUGUCUAUUUAUUAAUUUUUUAAUGGAUUUAAGUUUUUUAUAAAAUUAUUUUAAUUAAUUAUUUAUUAAUUGGGAUAAUGAUAAAAUUAGUAUAAUUUAUAUUAUUUUUGGUAUAUUUGUGGGUAAGAUGAUAUUAAGGAAUUCGGCAAAUUUUAAUAUGUUCGCUUGUUUAACAAAAACAUCUUUUCUUGUUUGUGUGGGAAAUAUAGCCUGCCCACUGAUAUUAAUUGAAGGGCCGCGGUAAUUUGACCGUGCAAAGGUAGCAUAAUCAUUAGUUUUUUAAUUGGAGGCUGGAAUGAAUGGUUGGACGAAAUAUAUACUGUCUUAUUUUUAAUAAUUGAAUUUAAUUAUUGGGUGAGAAAGCUUAAAAUGUUUUUUUGGGACGAGAAGACCCUAUAGAGUUUAAUAGUGUUUUGAGUUAUUAUGUGUGUUAUAAAUUAUUUUAUUAUACUAUUUUGUUGGGGUGAUGGAAGGAUAAUGAAAACUCCUUUUUGUUGUUUAAUAUUUAUUUAUACAUUAUUUUAGAUCCUUGUUGUUGAUUGUAAGAUAAAAUUACCUUAGGGAUAACAGCGUAAUCCUCUUUGAGAGUUCUUAUCGACAAGGGGGAUUGCGACCUCGAUGUUGGAUUAAGAUAAAUAUUAGGUGUAGAAGUUUAAUAAAUUGAGUCUGUUCGACUUUUAAAAUCUUACAUGAUCUGAGUUCAGACCGGCGUGAGCCAGGUUGGUUUCUAUCUAAAAAUUUAGUUGGGUAUUUUAGUACGAAAGGACCAUAUACUGGAAAUAAUUUUAGUGGUGGGAAUAAUAUUAAUUUACUAUUUUGGCAGAUAAGU